rnacentral:rRNA from 1 species
UACGUAGGGGGCUAGCGUUGUCCGGAUUUAUUGGGCGUAAAGAGCGUGUAGGCGGCCAUGUAGGUCCGGUGUGAAAACUCGAGGCUUAACCUCGAGAUGUCAUCGGAAACCAUUUGGCUAGAGUCCGGAAGAGGAGAGUGGAAUUCCUGGUGUAGCGGUGAAAUGCGCAGAUAUCAGGAAGAACACCAAUGGCGAAAGCAGCUCUCUGGGACGGUACUGACGCUGAGACGCGAAAGCGUGGGGAGCGGACAGG